rnacentral:rRNA from 1 species
UGGGGAAUAUUGCACAAUGGGCGCAAGCCUGAUGCAGCCAUGCCGCGUGUGUGAAGAAGGCCUUCGGGUUGUAAAGCACUUUCAGCGAGGAGGAAGGUGGUGAACUUAAUACGUUCAUCAAUUGACGUUACUCGCAGAAGAAGCACCGGCUAACUCCGUGCCAGCAGCCGCGGUAAUACGGAGGGUGCAAGCGUUAAUCGGAAUUACUGGGCGUAAAGCGCACGCAGGCGGUUUGUUAAGUCAGAUGUGAGAUCCCCGGGCUCAACCUGGGAACUGCAUUUGAAACUGGCAAGCUAGAGUCUCGUAGAGGGGGGUAGAAUUCCAGGUGUAGCGGUGAAAUGCGUAGAGAUCUGGAGGAAUACCGGUGGCGAAGGCGGCCCCCUGGACGAAGACUGACGCUCAGGUGCGAAAGCGUGGGGAGCAAAACAGGAUUAGAUACCCUGGUAGUCCACGCUGUAAACGAUGUCGAUUUUGGAGGUUGUGCCCUUGAGGCGUGGCUUCCGGAGCUAACGCGUUAAAUCGACCGCCUGGGGAGUACGGCCGCAAGGUUAAAACUUAAAAUGAAUUGACGGGGUCAUAGCUGUUUCCUG